AAACUAGGUCGAGAUAAAAUAGGCUUGCAGUACUCUAUUUUAAUAUUUAAACAAUCGCAAUCUUUUUGAAAGGUCAACACGGGACAAAAUAUAGCACAGAUUUUAUUUUCCAUUUUUUUCUGAACCAGGAGGAGAAACUGUCUUAAAUAUGUAGGCUGUACUAGACAGUGCUGUGGUCGCAGCUGAACGUAAUGAGAUCUUCAGUCAGAAUCUGGUUCUAUUGAAUGUUUCCUUACUCAAUAGUGGAAAGUAACUAGCUACAUACUUUUAUGUUUAGGCCUAUCCUUUAGUACUUUUUACAUUGUGGUAUUGCUAGUUUUGUAAAGAAAUACAAAUACUGAUACAAAUAGGAUCUGAAUAUUUCCUCCACUACUGUCCUUAAUACAGAAUUCAUGUGACAUAUAAUGUGAUAGUACUUUGAAGAACUUUUUGAGUCUAAAGUAUUCUAAUGGUGUAUCAAUGGACUCAAUCCUGGUGCUCCAGGACUGUCAGUAAAGUCCCAAAACUGAAAAAGGGGAUAUGGGGGAUUGUUCACUUUACAAAUAUACAGUUAGUUUAUACUACACAAGUACUUUCUAUUUCCUUUUCAAACAUUUCAAUUCUUUUCAUCUGGAGGGAUGUAAAUACCACUAGUCUCAGUCUUGUUGAGAUAAAUUGAAGAAGUUAUGUUUUGGACAACAUGGAAAACAACUCAGUCAGUCACAAUCAAUUUGAGAUGUGUGAGGACAAAUGAGUGAAUGUUUCAUUUCAGGUGACAGCAGAGGAGAGAAGCAGUUCAAAUUAUAUGUUUUCCAAUGUUAACAUUAGAUUUUGUUUUAUAGAUGUCUGGUGUUCCUCCAGCCAAGGGCAUUGAAUGACUUCUGCUAUGCUUUGAGUGAUGCUCCAAAGUCUUUAUGGUAGUUAUAAAUGCACAAUUUGAGUAUUACCACCAUCCCCUGCAGUCCAGAUGUACAACCUGACAGCUGCUGAAGAUAUUCGUAAAGAGAGGACAGAGAGGAUGACGAUAUUGAUUUACCACGAGAGGCACGAGACUCAGUACUACCAGUACUAUGUGAUCAUGAAACUCUUAUCCAGGGAUCCACUGAGGAGACCACAGUGGGAAUACUGGUUAUUAAAGACCAAGAUACCAGUGUAUGAACCAGCAGACAUCUGGACUGUCCUCAAGAUGGUGUUGCAAGAUUGCAGAGAACUGCAUUUGCAGCUGCAAAUGCAAUUUUGUUUUGAGCCUAAACUACCCUCCUGAACUCAAGUCCACCUUUAAAGCACUGUAGGUUCUCAUGGAGCUGGAAAGUAAUUCACUCUCCAGGAUCAGUAUCACAGACUGACACAGACAGAUCAGUGUGCUGUUAUCAAUGUGCAAUGGCGAGAUGGACAGGAAGCAGUUUUCCAUGUUCACCAUCUUGGAUCAUGGUCAUUAUUGCUCCCUGCGUUGCACUGACCGUGGACUCGAUGUGUUAUUCAUUUUAAAAGCUUUGGACAUGUACUUUAGUUCAUCUCACGUGGACUUGGACUGUUUGUUGUAUGAUACCUCCCUCCUGCCUUUUAAGUUUUAAGUCUUUGUUGUUGUUGUUGUUCCUUUUAGACAUGUAAUGUUCCUCUAAGCUUCUACUUUUGUGGAUGUUAAUUUUUCUCUCCUGAUAUUGUCGUGCUCGUCUUUGAUAAAACUGCAGUAUUUUUAUUAAAGGCUCUUACAAAUAGA